GAGCCUGUAACUCAGCUUGGAUAGAGUGCCAGCCUUCUAAGCUGGAAGUCGCCGGUUCAAAUCCGGCCAGGCUCG
rnacentral:tRNA from 1 species